UUGGCUUGGAUGGCGGCG
rnacentral:misc_RNA from 1 species